rnacentral:sRNA from 1 species
GAGUGUUUGUGGAGGGAAGUGGGAGGCACAGGCGGAGUGAUCUGUCCAGCGAGGGAGGAAGCAGAAGCCAGAGGCACGCGGCCUGUGCGCUUCGAAGCGUGGGGCAGUGUCAGUCGCAGUAGGGAAACGGGCGGCGUGACCAAGGCAGGAGUGAGGGAACACAGGGGGCUGUGUGAGCCCAGAGGAAGCACCUGGAGGCUGGGAGCAUCUGAAGGAAAGGAGGCAGCAGCCAGGUGAAAAGGGAGGAAGAGUUCCCGCCAGAAGGAGUAGCGGGUGCAGGUCUCACAGAUUUCAAACCUGGCUACUGGAUUGGUGUCCGCUAUGAUGAGCCACUGGGGAAAAAUGAUGGCAGUGUGAAUGGGAAACGCUACUUCGAAUGCCAGGCCAAGUAUGGCGCCUUUGUCAAGCCAGCAGUCGUGACGGUGGGGGACUUCCCGGAGGAGGACUACGGGUUGGACGAGAUAUGACACCUAAGGAAUUCCCCUGCUUCAGCUCCUAGCUCAGCCACUGACUGCCCCUCCUGUGUGUGCCCAUGGCCCUUUUCUCCUGACCCCAUUUUAAUUUUAUUCAUUUUUUCCUUUGUCAUUGAUUUUUGAGACUCAUGCAUUAAAUUCACUAGAAACCCAGAAA